GGGGAAUAUUGCACAAUGGGCGAAAGCCUGAUGCAGCAACGCCGCGUGAGUGAUGAAGGUCUUCGGAUUGUAAAGCUCUGUCUUUUGGGACGAUAAUGACGGUACCAAAGGAGGAAGCCACGGCUAACUACGUGCCAGCAGCCGCGGUAAUACGUAGGUGGCGAGCGUUGUCCGGAUUUACUGGGCGUAAAGGGUGCGUAGGCGGAUGUUUAAGUGAGAUGUGAAAUACCCGGGCUUAACUUGGGUGCUGCAUUUCAAACUGGAUAUCUAGAGUGCAGGAGAGGAGAAUGGAAUUCCUAGUGUAGCGGUGAAAUGCGUAGAGAUUAGGAAGAACACCAGUGGCGAAGGCGAUUCUCUGGACUGUAACUGACGCUGAGGCACGAAAGCGUGGGUAGCAAACAGGAUUAGAUACCCUGGUAGUUCACGCCGUAAACGAUGAGUACUAGGUGUAGGAGGUAUCGACCCCUUCUGUGCCGCAGUAAACACAUUAAGUACUCCGCCUGGGGAAGUACGAUCGCAAGAUUAAAACUCUAAAGUGAA
rnacentral:rRNA from 1 species